rnacentral:rRNA from 1 species
UCGGGAAUUUUGGGCAAUGGGCGAAAGCCUGACCCAGCAACGCCGCGUGAAGGAUGAAGUAUUUCGGUAUGUAAACUUCGAAAGAAUAGGAAGAAUAAAUGACGGUACUAUUUAUAAGGUCCGGCUAACUACGUGCCAGCAGCCGCGGUAAUACGUAGGGACCAAGCGUUGUUCGGAUUUACUGGGCGUAAAGGGCGCGUAGGCGGCAAUUCAAGUCAUCUGUGAAAUCUCCGGGCUUAACUCGGAACGGUCAGAUGAUACUGCUUUGCUAGAGUGCAGAAGGGGCAAUCGGAAUUCUUGGUGUAGCGGUGAAAUGCGUAGAUAUCGGGAGGAAUACCAGUGGCGAAAGCGGCUCUCUGGUUCAAUACUGACGCUGAGGCGCGAAAGCAAGAGGAUCAAACAGGAUUAGAUACCCACGUAGUCCCUGAGCGGGCUGGCAAGGCGCAU